CCUACGGGUGGCUGCAGUCGAGAAUCAUUCACAAUGGGGGAAACCCUGAUGGUGCGACGCCGCGUGGGGGAAUGAAGGUCUUCGGAUUGUAAACCCCUGUCAUGUGGGAGCAAAUUAAAAAGAUAGUACCACAAGAGGAAGAGACGGCUAACUCUGUGCCAGCAGCCGCGGUAAUACAGAGGUCUCAAGCGUUGUUCGGAAUCACUGGGCGUAAAGCGUGCGUAGGCUGUUUCGUAAGUCGGGUGUGAAAGGCGCGGGCUCAACCCGCGGACGGCACAUGAUACUGGGAGACUAGAGUAAGGGAGGGGGAACCGGAAUUCUCGGUGUAGCAGUGAAAUGCGUAGAUAUCGAGAGGAACACUCGUGGCGAAGGCGGGUUCCUGGACAUUAACUGACGCUGAGGCACGAAGGCCAGGGGAGCGAAAGGGAUUAGAUACCCCUGUAGUC
rnacentral:rRNA from 1 species